rnacentral:rRNA from 1 species
UACGGAGGGUGCAAGCGUUAUCCGGAUUCACUGGGUUUAAAGGGUGCGUAGGAGGGCAGGUAAGUCAGCGGUGAAAUCCCCGAGCUUAACUUGGGAACUGCCGUUGAUACUAUCUGUCUUGAAUAUUGUGGAGGUGAGCGGAAUAUGUCAUGUAGCGGUGAAAUGCUUAGAUAUGACAUAGAACACCAAUUGCGAAGGCAGCUCGCUACACAUAUAUUGACUCUGAGGCACGAAAGCGUGGGGAUCAAACAGG